rnacentral:rRNA from 1 species
UACGUAGGGAGCAAGCGUUGUCCGGAAUCAUUGGGCGUAAAGCGCGCGUAGGCGGCCCUGUAAGUCCGUUGUGAAAGUCAAAGGCUCAACCUUUGAAAGCCGAUGGAUACUGCAGGGCUAGAGUCCGGAAGAGGCGAGUGGAAUUCCUGGUGUAGCGGUGGAAUGCGCAGAUAUCAGGAGGAACACCAAUAGCGAAGGCAGCUCGCUGGGACGGUACUGACGCUAAGGCGCGAAAGCGUGGGGGGCGAACGAGG